rnacentral:tRNA from 1 species
GGCGGGGUAGCUCAGUUGGUAGAGCAACGGACUGAAAAUCCGUGUGUCCCCGGAUCGAUUCCGGGCCCCGCCACCA